CCUACGGGAGGCUGCAGUGAGGAAUAUUGGUCAAUGGCCGGAAGGCUGAACCAGCCAUGCCGCGUGAAGGUCAGUGCCCUAUGGGCGUUAAACUUCUUUUGUGCGGGAGCAAUAAUGGUCACGUGUGGCCAGACGAGGGUACCUUACGAAUAAGCAUCGGCUAACUCCGGGCCAGCAGCCGCGGUAAUACGGGGGAUGCAAGCGUUAUCCGGAUUUAUUGGGUUUAAAGGGUGCGUUGGCUGUGUGGUAAGUCAGCGGUGAAAUGCCCCCGCUCAACGGGGUGAAGUGCCAUUGAUACUGCCUAGCUGGAAUGCGGAUGCCGUGGGAGGAAUGUGUGGUGUAGCGGUGAAAUGCAUAGAUAUCACACAGAACACCGAUUGCGAAGGCAUCUCACGAAUCCGCGAUUGACGCUGAUGCACGAAAGCGUGGGUAUCAAACAGGAUUAGAUACCCCGGUAGUC
rnacentral:rRNA from 1 species